AUAAUAUGUAUAUAUAUAUUGAUAUAUAAUGUACAAUGUAUAUAUAUAAAAUUUUGGGGGGAUGCUGGGGAUUGAACCCAGGGUCCUGUGCAUGCUAAGCACACACUUUACCACUGAGCUACACCCCCAGCCCCAGAAAAACAUUUUGAAGCACAAAAUUUUGUCUUUUAAAUAAUGCACAUGUAUAUUUCUAUGUGAGCUUGUCUUCUAAAUUCAUUUACCCCUCAGAAAUGUAUUGAUCAUCUACUGCUUGCAGUAAAAGCAAUGAGCAAAACCAAAAUUUGGAGGGAUAUGAAUAAGAGACGGUAAGCACAUGAAGAAAAGAAGUGGUUGUGGGGUGUGAGAGUCACACAAGGAUUAGCCUUGGAGAAAGUGCUGGGAUUCUGGUGGUGAACAGGAAUGUGGGCAUGCUGAAAUUGGUCCCAAAGAGGCCAGUGCAAACUGUGAUGCUCUAAUGAGGAUCAGGGAGGGGAGGCUCAGAGCCAGCAACCUGCAGAGUGUGGACCAGUGGUGACCUGGAGGCUGAAGGUGCAGUUGAACCAAACAUGCCCUUUUGCUGUCCUCAAACAUAAAGAGAUCAAGUAGAAAGUUCCUUUUCAUUAACUUCUUUUGAAAAAAUGAUAUGCUUCAAAUGUCAGUUUUCAUCCAUUUAAAUUACACAAUUUAGUGAUUUUUGUUAAGUUGCACAACCACCUCCACCAUCUAAUUCCAGAACAUUUUCAUCAUCCCCAAAAGAACCCUGUACCGUGUGCAAUCAUUCCUCUGUUCCCCUCAACUCCCAGCCCAAGACAAACACUACUAAGCUUUGUCUCUAUGGAUUUUCUGUACUUUGCACAUUUCAUGUAAAUGGAAUCAUGAUAGGAAGCCAUUGUGUCUGGCUCUACCUUAGCAUAAUGUUUUCAAGAGUCAUUCCUGUUGUGUUAUAUUAUCAGUUUUCCAUCCCUUUUUUGAGGUAUGCUAUUUCAUUGUAUGGAUACACCAGAUAUUGCUUAUCCAUUUGCAAGCUGAUGGACAUUGGAAUACCUCUUCCUUUUGGCUAUGGUGAAUACUUAUAUGAACAGCCAUGUACAAGGUUUUGUGUAGCCACAUAUUUCCAUUACUCUUGGUUAAUUAUCUAGGUUUGCUAACUCCUUUAUAUGAAAAUGCUUAAUGCUUCUUUCUAUUUUUUUUCAUAUGAAUGUAAUGGGAAAAUAAGAGGAGGGCUAAAUUCCUAUCACCUUCGUGGCAAUAAAAAGUAUCUAGCUCUUGCUUGAGGCUAUGGCAAUUCUGAAAGGAUUAACUGAGACUACUUCUCCCAACCUUUGUUGCUUACUUAUCACCUUCAAAUUUCCCAGAUGAAAAUCUCCAAUGGUUGAUCUCCA
rnacentral:tRNA from 1 species